rnacentral:rRNA from 1 species
AGCGUACACGGUGGAUGCCCUGGCAGUCAGAGGCGAUGAAGGACGUGCUAAUCUGCGAUAAGCGUCGGUAAGGUGAUAUGAACCGUUAUAACCGGCGAUUUCCGAAUGGGGAAACCCAGUGUGAUUCGUCACACUAUCAUUAACUGAAUCCAUAGGUUAAUGAGGCGAACCGGGGGAACUGAAACAUCUAAGUACCCCGAGGAAAAGAAAUCAACCGAGAUUCCCCCAGUAGCGGCGAGCGAACGGGAGCAGCCCAGAGCCUGAAUCAGUGUGUGUGUUAGUGGAAGCGUCUGGAAAGGCGCGCGAUACAGGGUGACAGCCCCGUACACAAAAAUAGCACAUGCUGUGAGCUCGAUGAGUAGGGCGGGACGACGUGGUAUCCUGUCUGAAUAUGGGGGACCGAUCCUCCAAGGCUAAAUACUCCUGACUGACCGAUAGUGAACCAGUACCGUGAGGGAAAGGCGAAAAGAACCCCGGCGAGGGGAGUGAAAAAGAACCUGAAACCGUGUACGUACAAGCAGUGGGAGCACAGAGCAAUCUGUGUGACUGCGUACCUUUUGUAUAAUGGGUCAGCGACUUAUAUUCUGUAGCAAGGUUAACCGAAUAGGGGAGCCGAAGGGAAACCGAGUCUUAACUGGGCGUUAAGUUGCAGGGUAUAGACCCGAAACCCGGUGAUCUAGCCAUGGGCAGGUUGAAGGUUGGGUAACACUAACUGGAGGACCGAACCGACUAAUGUUGAAAAAUUAGCGGAUGACUUGUGGCUGGGGGUGAAAGGCCAAUCAAACCGGGAGAUAGCUGGUUCUCCCCGAAAGCUAUUUAGGUAGCGCCUCGUGAAUUCAUCUCCGGGGGUAGAGCACUGUUUCGGCAAGGGGGUCAUCCCGACUUACCAACCCGAUGCAAACUGCGAAUACCGGAGAAUGUUAUCACGGGAGACACACGGCGGGUGCUAACGUCCGUCGUGAAGAGGGAAACAACCCAGACCGCCAGCUAAGGUCCCAAAGUCAUGGUUAAGUGGGAAACGAUGUGGGAAGGCCCAGACAGCCAGGAUGUUGGCUUAGAAGCAGCCAUCAUUUAAAGAAAGCGUAAUAGCUCACUGGUCGAGUCGGCCUGCGCGGAAGAUGUAACGGGGCUAAACCAUGCACCGAAGCUGCGGCAGCGACGCUGAUGCGUUGUUGGGUAGGGGAGCGUUCUGUAAGCCUGCGAAGGUGUGCUGUGAGGCAUGCUGGAGGUAUCAGAAGUGCGAAUGCUGACAUAAGUAACGAUAAAGCGGGUGAAAAGCCCGCUCGCCGGAAGACCAAGGGUUCCUGUCCAACGUUAAUCGGGGCAGGGUGAGUCGACCCCUAAGGCGAGGCCGAAAGGCGUAGUCGAUGGGAAACAGGUUAAUAUUCCUGUACUUGGUGUUACUGCGAAGGGGGGACGGAGAAGGCUAUGUUGGCCGGGCGACGGUUGUCCCGGUUUAAGCGUGUAGGCUGGUUUUCCAGGCAAAUCCGGAAAAUCAAGGCUGAGGCGUGAUGACGAGGCACUACGGUGCUGAAGCAACAAAUGCCCUGCUUCCAGGAAAAGCCUCUAAGCAUCAGGUAACAUCAAAUCGUACCCCAAACCGACACAGGUGGUCAGGUAGAGAAUACCAAGGCGCUUGAGAGAACUCGGGUGAAGGAACUAGGCAAAAUGGUGCCGUAACUUCGGGAGAAGGCACGCUGAUAUGUAGGUGAAGUCCCUCGCGGAUGGAGCUGAAAUCAGUCGAAGAUACCAGCUGGCUGCAACUGUUUAUUAAAAACACAGCACUGUGCAAACACGAAAGUGGACGUAUACGGUGUGACGCCUGCCCGGUGCCGGAAGGUUAAUUGAUGGGGUCAGCGCAAGCGAAGCUCUUGAUCGAAGCCCCGGUAAACGGCGGCCGUAACUAUAACGGUCCUAAGGUAGCGAAAUUCCUUGUCGGGUAAGUUCCGACCUGCACGAAUGGCGUAAUGAUGGCCAGGCUGUCUCCACCCGAGACUCAGUGAAAUUGAACUCGCUGUGAAGAUGCAGUGUACCCGCGGCAAGACGGAAAGACCCCGUGAACCUUUACUAUAGCUUGACACUGAACAUUGAGCCUUGAUGUGUAGGAUAGGUGGGAGGCUUUGAAGUGUGGACGCCAGUCUGCAUGGAGCCGGCCUUGAAAUACCACCCUUUAAUGUUUGAUGUUCUAACGUUGACCCGUAAUCCGGGUUGCGGACAGUGUCUGGUGGGUAGUUUGACUGGGGCGGUCUCCUCCUAAAGAGUAACGGAGGAGCACGAAGGUUGGCUAAUCCUGGUCGGACAUCAGGAGGUUAGUGCAAUGGCAUAAGCCAGCUUGACUGCGAGCGUGACGGCGCGAGCAGGUGCGAAAGCAGGUCAUAGUGAUCCGGUGGUUCUGAAUGGAAGGGCCAUCGCUCAACGGAUAAAAGGUACUCCGGGGAUAACAGGCUGAUACCGCCCAAGAGUUCAUAUCGACGGCGGUGUUUGGCACCUCGAUGUCGGCUCAUCACAUCCUGGGGCUGAAGUAGGUCCCAAGGGUAUGGCUGUUCGCCAUUUAAAGUGGUACGCGAGCUGGGUUUAGAACGUCGUGAGACAGUUCGGUCCCUAUCUGCCGUGGGCGCUGGAGAACUGAGGGGGGCUGCUCCUAGUACGAGAGGACCGGAGUGGACGCAUCACUGGUGUUCGGGUUGUCAUGCCAAUGGCACUGCCCGGUAGCUAAAUGCGGAAGAGAUAAGUGCUGAAAGCAUCUAAGCACGAAACUUGCCCCGAGAUGAGUUCUCCCUGACUCCUUGA